rnacentral:snRNA from 1 species
AUCGGAUGUCGCCGAUCUGAUAAAAUUGGAAUGGUAUAGAGAAGCUUAGCAUGGUCCUGCGCGAGGAUGACACGCAUAAAUCGGAUAACAUGCUUCCUAUAU